rnacentral:rRNA from 1 species
GACGUAGGGCGCGAGCGUUGUCCGGAUUUAUUGGGCGUAAAGAGCUCGUAGGCGGCUUGUCGCGUCGACUGUGAAAACCCGCGGCUCAACUGUGGGCUUGCAGUCGAUACUGCCGUGCUUGAGGACUGGAGAGGAGACUGGAAUUUACGGUGUAGCGGUGAAAUGCGUAGAUAUCGUAAGGAAGACCAGUGGCGAAGGCGGGUCUCUGGACAGUUCCUGACGCUGAGGCACGAAGGUCAGGGGAGCAAACGGG